AUUGAACGCUGGCGGUAGGCCUAACACAUGCAAGUCGAACGAGUGGCGGACGGGUGAGGAAUACAUCGGAAUCUACUCUGUCGUGGGGGAUAACGUAGGGAAACUUACGCUAAUACCGCAUACGAUUGAAUGAGCCGUUGCCGGAUUAGCUAGUUGGCGGGGAAAAGGCCCACCAAGGCGACGAUCCGUAGCUGGUCUGAGAGGAUGAUCAGCAACACUGGAACUGAGACACGGUCCAGACUCAUACGGGAGGCAGAAGUGGGGAAUAUUGGACAAUGGGGGCAAGCCAGAUCCAGCCAUACCGCAUGGAUGAAGAAGGCCUUCGGGUUGUAAAGCCCUUUUGUUGGGAAAGCAGUACCCAAAGAAUAAGCACCGGCUAACUUCGUGCCAGCAGCCGCGGUAAUAC
rnacentral:rRNA from 1 species